UUGUUUUUUUCUAGGCUUUAUUCUCGACAAAAGUUGUUUUGCUCUUGGGCUAAGCUACUUUCUUGGACUUGACGCUCUUCCUCUCUUGAGACACUUAAAUAAUUGUCCAUUCAUCAAAGACAGGCUUCUUGGGAAUAAAUUCAAUCUGAUGAGUGUUUUCUUUGCAUUUUUGCAACGGAGUCUCGGGAUCACCUCCUGCUCCUCUGAAGCAGGAUAAUAAACCAGACGUGUUCUUUUGUUUCGAGGUAGUUUUGUCAUUAAUCAUUAAAAAUUAAUUCGUCUUCUAUAAAUUUUGGCUUAUCGUUAGAAAAAUGUAGUGGUCAUAUCAUCGUCUGUGUGAUUUGAUUCGCAAAAUUAGAGUAUUCUCAAGGUGUUGACCUACAUAUAUUAAUAUGUAAUUGUGUAUAUGUUGUGUAAUUUUCAAAUGUUUGUUUUAAAUAUGUUAUUUUGGUUUGAUUAGGUGUCUUAAGGAGAACUACUGCACGUAUAUGCAAUCAGGUUCUGUUCAACCCUACAUGUCUAGAGUUUUGGAGGAUGUGGUAUUUUUUUGCUGGCAAGGAUCACACAUUUUGCACUUGAGAUUCCGAGACUCCGUUGCAAAAGUGCAAAAUGUGCUUAAUAACUAUAAAUUUUUGUGAUCCUUAACACAAAACGA